AGUUGUGAUUUUUAUUUU
rnacentral:snRNA from 1 species